UGAUCCUUUAGUAUAGUGGUUCGUACAGUUUUCCUUCACAAAACCAGCAUCAGUUCGAGUCUGAUAAGGAUCGA
rnacentral:tRNA from 1 species